UAUCUUUUGUUUACUUUGAUGAUUUUCCUACUGUGAAGCUUUCCUUGUAUAAAGCUCAAUUUUUCCAUGACCACGGAAGUAAACAUCCUGAUGCAUUCUUGUCAUGUGAAUGUUGAGAGCGUGUUCAUUUUUGAAAUCUCCUUUCUGACAGACCUAUUCCACAGGAUCAGCUGAGAUGUAAUCAAUCACUGGAUUAUUUAAUGGAUAGGCUUAUUGGGCAUAUAUUUGGAUAUCUCUGUCAUCAACAUGGAAUGUAUGACUUCAUCUUUUAUACAGUCGGGUUCGGGGUUUCGGGCGGCCAUGACGAAUUUCGGCAAGAUUUUACCCCAGUGAAAAAGGCUUGUAAUCCACAGUUCCUCAACCUGGAAGAUAUGUUUUGUUCCUAACCAUCUAUAAUCCAUUCUCUAUGAAGUGAAGCCUGGCUGCUCUUCCUUUGGAAAUACACAGUUAAUCAAUCAACAUAGAAACACACAAACUUGAAGGUAAAGUUUCAAUGAGAUACAAUUGUAACUUUUAUUUAUUUAUUUAUUUUUUUUUGUUACAUAUGCAUGUUUAUAUUUUUGAAUUGAUAAAUAAAUG